rnacentral:tRNA from 1 species
CGGCACGUAGCGCAGCCUGGUAGCGCACCGUCAUGGGGUGUCGGGGGUCGGGAGGUUCAAAUCCUCUCGUGCCGA